rnacentral:rRNA from 1 species
AGUUGGUGGAGUGAUUUGUCUGGUUAAUUCCGUUAACGAACGAGACCUUAACUUGCUAAAUAGUUACAUAUAACUCAAGUUAUGUUGACAUCUUCUUAGAAGGACCUUGUGUAUCUAAUGCAAGGAAGUUUGAGGCAAUAACAGGU